rnacentral:rRNA from 1 species
GACAGAGGGGGCAAGCGUUGCUCGGAAUUACUGGGCGUAAAGGGCGCGUAGGCGGGAUGGCAAGUCGGUCGUGAAAUCCUUCGGCUCAACCGAAGAACGUCGAUCGAUACUGCUGUUCUUGAGGGUUGCAGAGGAGACUGGAAUUCCCGGUGUAGCGGUGAAAUGUGUAGAGAUCGGGAGGAACACCGGUGGCGAAGGCGGGUCUCUGGGCAAUUCCUGACGCUGAGGCGCGAAAGCGUGGGGAGCGAACAGG